rnacentral:rRNA from 1 species
GACGAACGCUGGCGGCGUGCCUAACACAUGCAAGUAGGACGCAGUUGCGAACGGGAGAGUAACGCGUAGGGAACUACCUAGUAGAGGGGGAUAACUAUUGGAAACGAUAGCUACUACCGCAUACUAGUAGAUGGACCUGCGUUGUAUUUGCUAGUAGGGAGGGUAAUGGCCUACCUAGGCAACGAUACAUAGCCGAGCUGGGGGGGUGGUCGGCCCAACUUGGGCUUGGGCAAGGCCCAGGACCCUGCGGGGAGGAAGAGGAGGGGAACUUCGGAAAAGGGGGGAAACCUGGCCGAGCCAAGCCGCGUGGGUGGAGGAAGUUUUUGGGUCGGAAAGGUCUGUUGUUAAGGGAGCGGUACUUGACCAGAAAGGGACGGCUAACUACGUGCCAGCCGCCGCGGUAAUUC